rnacentral:misc_RNA from 1 species
GAAAUGCGAUAAGUAAUGUGAAUUGCAGAAUUCAGUGAAUCAUCGAAUCUUUGAACGCACCUUGCGCUCCUUGGUAUUCCUUGGAGCAUGCCUGUUUGAGUAUCAUGAAAUCUUCAAAGUAAAUCUUUUGUUAACUCAAUUGGUUUCUACUUUGGUAUUGGAGGUCUUUGCAGCUUCACACCUGCUCCUCUUUGUUCAUUAGCUGGAUCUCAGUGUUAUGCUUGGUUCCACUCGGCGUGAUAAGUUAUCUAUCGCUGAGGACACUGUAAAAGGUGGCCAAGGUAAAUGCAGAUGAACCGCUUCCAAUAGUCCAUUGACUUGGACAAUACUUUUAUGAUCUGAUCUCAAAUCAGGUAGGACUACCCGCUGAACUUAAGC